rnacentral:rRNA from 1 species
GAUGAACGCUGGCGGCGUGCCUAAUACAUGCAAGUCGAGCGAACAGACGAGGAGCUUGCUCCUCUGAAGUUAGCGGCGGACGGGUGAGUAACACGUGGAUAACCUACCUAUAAGACUGGGAUAACUUCGGGAAACCGGAGCUAAUACCGGAUAAUAUAUUGAACCGCAUGGUUCAAUAGUGAAAGACGGUUUUGCUGUCACUUAUAGAUGGAUCCGCGCCGCAUUAGCUAGUUGGUAAGGUAACGGCUUACCAAGGCAACGAUGCGUAGCCGACCUGAGAGGGUGAUCGGCCACACUGGAACUGAGACACGGUCCAGACUCCUACGGGAGGCAGCAGUAGGGAAUCUUCCACAAUGGGCGAAAGCCUGACGGAGCAACGCCGCGUGAGUGAUGAAGGUCUUCGGAUCGUAAAACUCUGUUAUUAGGGAAGAACAAAUGUGUAAGUAACUAUGCACGUCUUGACGGUACCUAAUCAGAAAGCCACGGCUAACUACGUG